rnacentral:rRNA from 1 species
UCAGGACGAACGCUGGCGGCGUGCUUCAUACAUGCAAGUCGAACGAUAAGGUCUCUUCGGAGACACAUAAGUGGCGGACGGGUGAGUAAUGUGUAGAGAAUCUGCCCUAGAGUGGGGGACAACAGUUGGAAACGACUGCUAAUACCGCAUAUGCGCGUAGCUGAGAUGCUAUUCGUGAAAACUCCGGUGCUCUGGGAUGAGUCUGCAUCUGAUUAGCUAGUUGGGGGUGUAAUGGACCACCAAGGCGACGAUCAGUAGCUGGUUUGAGAGGAUGAUCAGCCACAAUGGGACUGAGACACGGCCCAUACUCCUACGGGAGGCAGCAGUAGGGAAUUUUGCGCAAUGGGGGGAACCCUGAACCGCAGCAACGCCGCGUGAUUGACUAAGCCCUUCGGGGUGUAAAGAUCUGUCAGUGGGGACGAAACUUGACGGUACCCACAGAGGAAGCAUCGGCUAACUCCGUGCCAGCCGCGGC